CUCACAUCCUGCCCUGAUUUGGUGUUUAUGGAUGUCAAUGAAAUCAUUUUGACCUCAGAUAGGUGGCAGGGUCCCCCAUGCAGUUGGGUGAGCUACAUAAAAGAGGCUUAAAUACCUGGAAAGAGCCAACAUCUGCCCUCACCUCCAUUC